GGAUCCCAGUGGACUACAGUCCCUGGGGUUGCAAAAGAGUCGGACAAGACUUAGCGACUAAACAACAACAACAAAAGAUGGAAAAUAAUAAAAGAGCAAAAUGAGGAGCAGCCAACCUGGGGGGAGGAUGCUCAAAAGAUUCCUUAUCUAGCUAUUCUUAAUAGGCUUACAUUCUGUUGGUGAGUGGAUAUGAGACAACGGAGAAGAUGUGAUUUCUGUCCUCAAGGAGCAGAUAGUGGCAAUGGGGGAGGAGUGGUGUCAAAAAGGUGGAGGCCACAGCAUCUGAUGCUGCAGGAAGGACCUAAAAUGUUUGCAGAGACUAGGACACACUCUGGGACAAGGCCCAACGAUUUUGUUCAAUCCUACAUUGCUUCUUCAUACAGGCUGUGGAAAAGGCAGAAAGAGAAGGAAGAGAGAUUGGAUAAGUUAUUAAAAAAAUCUACAUGAGUUGGAACCCUCUGUUCACCCACUCUGCCCGUGAACACUUUGUGAGUUAGAGAUGGAAUUCAGAAACCCAUUGAUGCGUAUGUGGGAAGAACAUUCUGCUGAUCAAGUGGGUAGGCAGGGGACAUGGCCUCUGCUACCCAGUCCAUCACAGCAAUAGAAGAGUUCUUUGUAAGCCCUUCAACCUUCACAUUCUCGAAGUCUUGCUCCCUUUGUUCAUAGAAGCUCCAGCAGAAGAAUGUUUCUAGCGAAGGAGCAUCAGUGAUAACCAAAAAGGGCAGUGGGAACCAAAGGGAGUUGAACCUUCAUUUCUGUGAACCACCUACACUUGCUGUUGUUUAUACAGUGAACUAUUGACUGGGAUGAAUGUUUCCAUGAAAGGCCAUUCUUGUAAAAUCUCAUCAGAAUUUAAACCCUUCAGAGGCUGACCCACCUGCAUCUCACUGCUUAGUUUUGGGUUCCUUCUUGACAGUUAAUUACAAGAAGCCUGAACUGCUGAACCAUGGGCCUGGCUGACCAGUUCAAAUUCUCCAACAAAAUAAAUUUAGCUUCACUUCAUUGGAAUUAAAAGGUUGAAGCUUUCAUCAAACAACUGGACUCUGCCCCCUGCUUUGAAAACUGAACCAUGUCUUGAGACAUGAUUUUUGCUUUUUUCUUUCUCCAAUACCCAGUUGCUGGAAUAGUGAUAGAGAAACAGAAGACAUUCAAGUGAAAAGAAAAUCAUACUCUAAUUAUUGGAGAUGCUGUUCUGAAGUUCCCCUUUCAAUAAAAAUGCACAGCCAGUAUUUCUUCAUGGGAAAUGAGCAAAGUUUGAGACGGGUCAGGUGUUUGGGUCUGUAAUUUGCACUGGGCAUUUUCUCCUCUCACAGGCCUAGAGGUUAGAAGCAGCAGAAAUACAAUGAGCAGGCCCUGCCGUUCUUUUCAGGUGCUCAGCUCUCCCUGGGAUCCUAAUUACAGACUCUUUGCAUGAAGAAUUCUUUUUGAAGGUAAUGAGAGUGCUAUAUCCAGAGGAUGCUAAUAAAAGUAGGUUGAGAAAUCUGUUUCGAGGCUGUCUUACUUUUCAGGUCUUAUCUUUCAGGGGACAGAGAAGACACAUUUAUUAUUAAGGACCUGAUAUAUGUCAGCCUUUGGGUUUAGUGUUUUCUAUUUGAGACCUGAAUUCCUCCAGUCCUCUGAUUGCAAGAGAAUAAAUGAGGUCACAUUACUGUAUAAGUGAAAGUUGAACAGCCUUUUACAUUAUGAAUCUGUACAAAGUAUGGCCCAUUUAAAAUUUUUUUUUUAAUUUUGCCUGUGCCACACAGCAUGUGGGGUCUUGGUUCCCUACCCAGGAGUCAAACCACCACCCCUGCAUUGGAAGCAUGGAGUUUUAUCCACUGGACCAUCAGGGAAGUUCCCCCUUCCUUUUUUCUGGCACAUUUUAAAGGCUUCUUCUCCUCCGGUAUCUAUGAGGAGUCCUAAGAGGUGUUUCUCAAGUUCUCAGUGAUGAUCAUGCUCUCAGAGCUGUAUAUUAUGUACGGUAUACCAAGACUAAUCUGAAGGUAAAACUUUGGUAUUUUCCCACCACAGCAUUUGCCAUAGGCUGAAUGCUUGUCCCCUCCCCGGUCCCCCAUGUGUGUGAGGAAACCUAACCUGCAGUGUAAUGGUAUUAGGAGAUGGGGCCUUUGGGAGGGAUUAGGGUCCUUAUGAAAGGAAGUUCAGGGUGCUCCCUUGCAACUUCUGCCCUCUGAGGAUACGGCAGGAAGACUCUCAUCCAGGAAGUGGGUCCCCAGUAAUUAUGUCAUCCCGUGGUUGAUUGAUCUUGACUUCCCCAACCUUCAGAAGUCGAGAGAAAUAAACUUUUGUUGUUUAUAAGCCACACAGCCUAUAGUAGUUUUUACAGUCGCACUAACAAAGACAUUGUCUACAUGUAUUAGAAAGGCAAAGAGACAGAGAGAGAGAGAAAGAGAGAGAGAGUUAUUGAAGAAGCAUUAUAUCAUCAGGCAGCACAUAUUUGGUAUACCAUUCAAAUUUUGCAUUCUAAGUACGAACAUUUUUAUACUUCAUCUGGUAACAACUGUUUCAUUACCAAAGUUGAUUAAACAUCCUCCUUCUUCAUAAUGGAGCUCCGAUUCUGAACUGUAGCUUGGCAGAAACUGUAUUUCUUUCUUUUUUUUUUCUUCUUUCUUUGAUUGUUUUUUAGACUUUAUAUAUGUAACUGUGAGAAUUUGUCAUUCUCAUAGAAUCUACACUUUCAGAUGCUUUGCUCCCAGAGGAUUCUGCCAAGAUAUCCAUAGAAGAAAACAGAGAUAUGAAGAUCUGAAAACUCAUUGAUAAAUGUUUUCCCUAUGGCCUAAGGCCUAAAUCUCAGUAAUAACAAUAAUCACAUUUAAGGGAUAGAGCAAUCUUCCUUGUAAAAUCAGUAACUCUCAUUUCAGUGGACAGGAAUGUUCUCUGUCCUUGAUACAUCUCAUUUCUUUUCAUUUUGGUGAACAAUUAUGGCAUUCCAUCUUUCUGACUGAAAGUAACUUGAAUGAAAAAAAUAGCAUUAAACAUUAGAGAAAAAGUACCUCAGAAAUUAAUCAAAAACAUGACUUAUUUGAGAAAAAAUAUUUUAAGUAAAAUACUUUUAUUAUUUCUGAAUAAAGUAGUAUGUCCCCAAAUUUAUUUAAAACAAAUAAUUUAUCAUGACUAAAAUUCAUUCAAAUCAACUCAUUACAUAUUGCUUGAAUAAUUACAAUAUGGAAGACACUAGGGUUCCUGCUUCAAGAAAUAAGAAAGUAAACCAGUAUGCAGAAUUUCCAUAAUUUUUCUGUUAUUGAAAGUGAUGUGGUCCAAUGCACAAACUUGUGUAGGAAGUGCAUUUUUAUAAAAAUGAUAAAAAGCAAAUUGGUCAAAAUUCUGUGAAAACAUCUAAGAUUAAUGAUAAUUUCCUAUUUAUUUAUGCAUUGUGAGAAAAUUCUGUAUUUUUCAAAAGUGAUUAAUGUCAUAGAAGGUGAGUGUUUAUUCAAAACAGAAGACUAGUUUAGAAAACAAACUGCGAUUAGAUAUGAAUUUGCGCUGCUAUAUAUAAAAUAGAUAACCAACAAGGACCUACUGUAUAGCAUAGGGAACUCUACUCAAUAUUAUGAUAAACCUAUAUGGGUAAAGAAUCUGAAAAAGAAUGAUUAUGUGUACAUGUAUAACUGAAUCACUUUGUUGUACACCUGAAACUAACACAAUAUUUUUAAAUCAACUGUACUCCAAUAAAAUAAAAAAGUAAUUAAAUUAAAUUAAAGAAAAAUGAAUUUGUGUAUAAGUGCUUAAGGUCUUACUUGCUUUUUGUUUCUUUGUC
rnacentral:lncRNA from 1 species